GUCCAACCUGUACUCGCGUGGGAAUGAGUAGACACUCUGGAGGAGUCGGCAGAGCAGGCAGACCAAGGAGUUCAUCUUCUCAGGGCUGCUGUCCAACCUGUACUCGCGUAGGAGCAAGAAGACACUCCUGGAGGAGUCGGCAGAGCAGGCACAGCGGCGCGACGAGAUGCUGCACAUGCACCACGUGCUGAAAGAGGCUCUCAGCAUCAUCGGCGACAUCACCAUGAACACCGUCAGCACAGCUACGGGGCCUGUGGAGGACGCCUAGCUGCAGCCAAGCCCAGCAAAAGAAUGGCAUACGGGAGUUGCUGCACAAGCCUGGUUGCUCCACGCUGUCAGUGAGGCUCACCUCACAAAGAUCUUUGGAGAGAAGGAGGUGGGGAUCCGAGUGCAGUGAGAGCCUCCCCUGCCCCUGCCUGCCAACCCUGCCUGAGGACUCUACUCACCACCAUGCUUGUCAGCACCCACAAGCUCCUGGGGGGCUGGGGCUCCUGGACCGGGCUCAUCAGCAAGCUUCAGGGCAGUGGCCGGGAAUUUGCUGUGUCCCUUGUUGUAGUCACCACAAGCCGCAACAUCGUCUCCAGCAGCUCCAGCAGCUUCACCUGGAGGGAGGGGUGCUCAGCUGUUACGGACCUACCGGCGCCCACCCUCACGCCCACCCCCACCCCUGCAGAGAUGUUGCACACCCUACCUUCAUCUCUUCCUUGUCCUGGACCAGCCUGAUGAUGUCCUCCUCCCGUUGCCGCAUCUUUGGCACUGCCCCCUGGCUGUGUUCUAGGGUGAUGAACUUUCCUGCAGGAGGACAGGGCUCAGACGCUGAGGUCCCUCCGACGGCCCUGCAGCUCCCCCUGCCGUGCCCUGGCCUCCCGCUCACUGAUGGCUUCUGUCUUUCCAGUACUGGAUGAAUCGAAGUUCUAGUUUCUCCGCUCGCUACCUCAGGUCCACCUUCUCCUCCAGGAGGUCCAUAAGGCCGCUCUGGAGCCAAAAUAAUGGGGUCACAUCUCGGCAGCAACACCCACCCCUGCCCUUCUUGGCCCAUGCCAGGACUCAGUCACCUCCAGCUUCUCCAUGACCUCCUGCAUGGCCCGGUGGGUCUCCCCACUCACAGACUGGCCCCUAGUCACUGGGGCUGGGACCGCUGCCUCUGGCUUCUGCUGGGCCGAGGCCACCAGGUGAGCCAUGCGCUGGCAGCACACCCUCUGCUCUUUCACCUGCUCUCGUAACCGUGCCUGCUCCUCCUGGGCACUGGCUCCAGCGGAGUUGAAAAAUGCAACCUGAGGGCAAGAGGUGAGCAUUCUUGUAGGGGCAUACACAGAACAAACAGGGCAGAGAGGUGGAGUGCAGCCUCUUCCCUUGGGGCCUCAGAGAGUGCAUCUGUUGGUCACAGGUGAAAUGGUGUCUGACCACUGGCUCCCGGAAGGGGUGAGGGUCCAGAGAAAUCAGAAGGCAGGGAAACCAAGAGCAUAAAGGGGCCUUGGAGGGACCACAGAGGAAGGUGGCAAAAUGGGUACAGGGGGAGUCAGGCUCACCGUGGCCUCCCAGCUCUCCAGGUCCUCCGGGUUGCUCGGCAUGGGCCAAGGUGCCUCCUCCUCCUCACUGUCCAGAUGUCCUCCUCCAUCUCCUGUGGGGGGUGGCAAGAAGGGUCCUCAGACAGCCCAACAAGGGAGGUACUGUGGGCCCACCUCUGCCUCCACCCUCACUGUGUAACACUGAGCCAGCCACUACCCAGAGAGCAGCUGCUGUUCUUUAUUUUUACUUUUAAGAACCAAGAUCAGGCAUAGUCCCACUACCAGUCGAUGUGGGAGUUCUGACCCACUCCCUUUCUGACCUGGGCCAGUUCAGCCAUCCUUAGGCAACUUGGUGGCCCCCCGCUCCCAGGAGGACAUCAUAUUGAUGCCAAACUUAGUGCGGGCACCCGGUCGGCAUAGGGACCAGCUGUUCUAAAGGUCUCUUCCAACCUUUACCUUUUUCUUUGCUGCGGCCAAUUUGCUCUGUUGAGUUUCUUCUGCCAUUGCAGGGUGGGGAGGGAGGUGGGGUGGGGAGGGAGGCGGGGUUGGGGCCACAUGAGCAAAAUCCCAGUGAGCACUGAUGAACACCUCCACUUGCCUACCAGGCAGCUGUGUGACUGAGCCCGAGGAGGCGUAACUAGGGCCCCCAUAGAAUGCAGAACAGGGGCGUGGCCUUAAUGCUCCAAGCCCAUUGGUCAAUGACAAAGAUGAAAGGGAAAGGGGGUGUGGCCAGGCAGCAGUAGGUCCAGAGGGACCUGUGGCUCACAAGGAAAGCUGUCCAUGCAACCGCUGUCCCCACCUACUCUGAGGGGAG
rnacentral:lncRNA from 1 species